rnacentral:rRNA from 1 species
GAUGAACGCUGGCGGCGUGCCUAAUACAUGCAAGUCGAGCGAACGGACGAGAAGCUUGCUUUUCUGAUGUUAGCGGCGGACGGGUGAGUAACACGUGGAUAACCUACCUAUAAGACUGGGAUAAAUUCGGGAAACCGGAGCUAAUACCGGAUAAUAUUUUGAACCGCAUGGUUCAAAAGUGAAAGACGGUCUUGCUGUCACUUAUAGAUGGAUCCGCGCUGCAUUAGCUAGUUGGUAAGGUAACGGCUUACCAAGGCAACGAUGCAUAGCCGACCUGAGAGGGUGAUCGGCCACACUGGAACUGAGACACGUUCCAGACUCCUACGGGAGGCAGCAGUAGGGAAUCUUCCGCAAUGGGCGAAAGCCUGACGGAGCAACGCCGCGUGAGUGAUGAAGGUCUUCGGAUCGUUAAACUCUGUUAUUAGGGAAGAACAUAUGUGUAAGUAACUGUGCACAUCUUGACGGUACCUAAUCAGAAAGCCACGGCUAACUACGUG